UGGUUAUAUCGCAUUGAAAUACCAGUUCCCGUAUGAUCACUGAAGUUAAACAACAUUGAGCCUUGUCAGUACCUAGAUGGGUGACUGCUUGGGAAUACCAGGUGCUGUAA